rnacentral:lncRNA from 1 species
GGGGUGGAACAUACAUGGAAACCAAAAGGGUUCGAGUGUAUCUGUCACGUCUCAGCAUCACUCUAUUAGGCCAUGGCUCAAGCCCAAAUCAUAGCAAAUAUCCGGGCAACACUGGUUAACAGACAGCCUAAAUGAUUUCAUUAGAGUCUUUAAUUUAGAUUUCAUUCAGCCAGGGUAGGGGACAGGGACAGGGGACAGAGGACAGGGGAGGAGUAGGAGGUGUAUGGUGACAGGGGAGGAGGAGGAGGUGUAUGGUGACAGGGGAGGAGGAGGAGGUGUAUGGUGACAGGGGAGGAGGAGGAGGUGUAUGGUGACAGGGGAGGAGGAGGAGGUGUAUGGUGACAGGGGAGGAGGAGGAGGUGUAUGGUGACAGGGGAGGAGGUGUAUGGUGACAGGGAAGGAGGAGGUGGUGUAUGGUGACAGGGGAGGAGAUGGAGGUGUAUGGUGACAGGGGAGGAGGAGGUGGUGUAUUGUGACAGGGGAGAAGGAGGAGGUCUAUGGUGACAGGGGAGGAGGAGGAGGUGUAUGGUGACAGGGGAGGAUGUGUAUGGGGACAGGGGAGGAGAAGGUGGUGUAUGGUGACAGGGGAGGAGAAGGUGGUGUAUGGGGACAGCACAGACAUGCUGAAGGGUUAGGGCUGCCUGCCUCUGCCUGGCCAUGGAAGGGUUUGAAGUGGGUAAGUACAGAGCGCAAGUGCAGGUCUCUAUCUGAGACUGGCUAGUGAGCUGGCUAGUGAGCUAAAUGAUUAACCGUGCCAAAUAACAGCUCAUUAGGAAUCAGCAUGUCCCAUCCGGAAGAGCAAUGAGAGGCGCCAGCCCCCGCCUACCAGAAUAGUAUGCCUCAUUAGAAACCUUUUUGUCUUGGGUGCAAAUGCCAACUCAGAUCAUCUGGUUACAGUUUGAGCCAAUUCAGAAUAUGAAGACCCACCAGCCAUACUCUCUAACCCUUGUGUGUAUCCACAAACAGCUAACUACCGUACAACCCAGUGUUAAUUCACUUUGGCUAAUAAGUAGCAAUUAAUGAGGUGGUAAGUAGUGAAAAUGUCUUUAAAUGUAAUCUAUUACUAGAUGACAGUGUAGUUGGAAGCGCGUCUGUGGAUGGAAAUUCUACACUGAAUGAGCAAAAGUUGCCAUCUGUCAUUGCUAUUUGGGAUUACUGCAGCGUGACAGUCACUAAAUACUGCAAACUGGGAGCCUUCUGUUCAUAAACAACAUCCAUCUAUUUGUCUUAUGGUCCAAGAUAAUGAAAGCCUGUUUUUUCUACAUUUUAAUAAAAACAUGACAGGUCAAGUCCCAG